rnacentral:rRNA from 1 species
UACGUAGGGGCAAGCGUUGUCCGGAUUUAUUGGGCGUAAAGAGCGUGUAGGCGGUCAGGUAGGUCCGUUGUGAAAACUCGAGGCUCAACCUCGAGACGCCGAUGGAAACCAUCUGACUAGAGUCCGGAAGAGGAGAGUGGAAUUCCUGGUGUAGCGGUGAAAUGCGCAGAUAUCAGGAAGAACACCGGUGGCGAAGGCGGCUCUCGUGGACGGUGACUGACGCUGAGACGCGAAAGCGUGGGGAGCAAACAGG